AUUGAACGCUGGCGGCAGGCCUAACACAUGCAAGUCGAACGAGUGGCGGACGGGUGAGUAAUGUCUGGGAAACUGCCUGAUGGAGGGGGAUAACUACUGGAAACGGUAGCUAAUACCGCAUACCAUCGGAUGUGCCCAGCUGGGAUUAGCUAGUAGGUGGGGUAAAGGCGCACCGAGGCGACGAUCCCUAGCUGGUCUGAGAGGAUGCCAAGGCACACUGGAAUUGGGACACGGUCCAGACUCCUCCGGGAGGCAGAAGUGGGGAAUAUUGCACAAUGGGCGGAAGCCUGAUGCAGCCAUGCCGCGUGUAUGAAGAAGUCCUUCGGGUUUUAAAGUACUUUCAGCGGGGAGGCGUUACCCGCAGAAGAAGCACCGGCUAACUCCGUGCCAGCAGCCGCGGUAAUAC
rnacentral:rRNA from 1 species